rnacentral:rRNA from 1 species
GACGAACGCUGGCGGCGUGCCUAAUACAUGCAAGUCGAGCGAAGCGGCGGAUGGGUGAGUAACGCGUGGGUAACCUGCACUUAAGUCUGGGAUAGCAUUUGAAAACAGAUGCCGAUACCGGAUACUACAGGAUGGACCUGCGUUGCGGUAGCUAGUUGGUAAUGUAACGGCUUACCAAGGAGAUGAUGCAGAGCCGAGUUGAGAGACGGAUCGGCCACAUUGGGACGGAGACACGGCCCAAACUCCGACGGGAGGCAGCAGUAGGGAAUCUUCCACAAUGGACGAAAGUCUGAUGGAGCAACGCCGCGUGAGUGAAGAAGGUUUUCGGAUCGUAAAGCUCUGUUGUUGGUGAAGCGGUAAUCAACCAGAAAGUCACGGCUAACUACGUGCCAGCAGCCGCGGUAAUAC